rnacentral:rRNA from 1 species
CAAUAGCGUAUAUUAAAGUUGUUGCGGUUAAAAAGCUCGUAGUUGGAUUUCUGCCGAGGACGACCGGUCCGCCCUCUGGGUGAGCAUCUGGCUCGGCCUGGGCAUCUUCUUGGAGAACGUAGCUGCUCUUCGCUGAGUGGUGCGGUAUCCAAGACUUUUACUUUGAGGAAAUUAGAGUGUUUCAAGCAGGCACACGCCUUGAAUACAUUAGCAUGGAAUAAUAAGAUAGGACCUCGGUUCUAUUUUGUUGGUUUCUAGAGCUGAGGUAAUGAUUAAUAGGGAUAGUUGGGGGCAUCAGUAUUCUGAAGCGAGAGGUGAAAUUCUUGGACCUUCGGAGACUAACAACUGCGAAAGCAUUUGCCUAGGAUGUUCUCUUUAAUCAAGAACGAAAGUUGGGGGAUCGAAGAUGAUCAGAUACCAU